AGUCAGUGUGGCAUAGUGGUUUGAGCACUGGGAUUAUGGCUCUGGAGACCAGAGUUCAAAUCCCUGCUUAACUA